UAGGGAAUCUUCCGCAAUGGGCGAAAGCCUGACGGAGCAACGCCGCGUGAGUGAUGAAGGUCUUCGGUUUGUAAAACUCUUUUAUUAGGGAAGAACAAAUGUGUAAGUAACUAUGCACGUCUUGACGGUACCUAAUCAGAAAGCCACGGCUAACUACGUGCCAGCAGCCGCUGUAAUACGUAGGUGGCAAGUGUUAUCCGGAUUUAUUGGGCGUAAAGCGCGCGUAGGCGGUUUUUUAAGUCUGAUGUGAAAGCCCACGGCUCAACCGUGGAGGGUCAUUGGAAACUGGAAAACUUGAGUGCGGAAGAGGAAAGUGGAAUUCCAGGUGUAGCGGUGAAAUGCGCAGAGAUAUGGAGGAACACCAGUGGCGAAGGCGACUUUCUGGUCUGUAACUGACGCUGAUGUGCGAAAGCGUGGGGAUCGAACAGG
rnacentral:rRNA from 1 species